GCUGAGGUAGAGUUGAAUGAUGAGGAUUGUAUGAAUGUAUGUGGAGAUGUACAUGGGCAAUUCAGAGAUCUGGAAAAUAUAUUCUUUCUCAAGGGUGAACCCUCAAAAGGGAAUCUUUACCUCUUUAAUGGAGAUAUUGUCGACAGAGGUCCAGAAUCUAUAGCCUGUAUCGUUGUACUGGUUGCUUUGAGAGUUGUACAUCCUGAUCUGGUGUACAUAAACAGAGGAAACCAUGAGGCAGCGGCAAUGAACAUAAAGGAAUUGUGUACAAUAUUAAACCAUUAUAAAAAUAUUCUUAACCAGAAUAUCAUUAUAAAAAGUAGAUGCACUUUUAAUUAAGUAUACAUCUUAUUGAACUAAAAACAGUGAGAACCAGAAAAGUAUGGAAUAGGAAACCGUCUUUAAAACGCAAGUUGUGAUGCAUCUCCCAGGAGACACAGCAAUUAUGCAGUGUCUGUGUACACUGUACACAGACCAUUUAACUUAA